rnacentral:rRNA from 1 species
AUGCCGGGCGCUGAGGCCGACGGCGGCGCCGGCGCCGGCGCUUCCUCCUCCUCCACCGCAGAUAGUUUUGACGCCGGGCAGUACGCCUUCUUCGGGAAGGAGCCGCGCGACGGGCUCGAGCUAGGUUGCUUGGAGGCUGAUGGUGGCCAUGGCAAUGGCGGUGGAUUCAGCGGGCCAGAGGAUGGUGGCUUGUACCGGCUCUCUUCGGUGGGAGAAGAGAUUGACAAUCUAAGUAACUUGUCGGAUGUCGAUGAUCUUGCGAGUACUUUUGCUAAGUUGAACCGAACCGUUAGUGGUGGAACACGGAAUCCUGGUGUUAUCGGUGACAGACGAUCCAUUUCAAGAGGAAGUUCUUUAACUGUUGAUUGGACUGAGGAUGUCGAGUUUCCCAAUUAUCAGGAUAUAUUAGAAAAUGAGGAAUUCCAGGAAGGUAAAAGAUGGUGGUCAUCGCAGUCACAUUCUUUGAUGCAGCAAGGGGACAACAAGCCGUUAAGUCGAACAUCUUCCUAUCCUCAGCAGCCACUGCAGCACCGUUCCAGUGAACCUAUCACAGGACCAAAGUCUCCUCCGUUAACCUCGUUUCCGCCACCAGGUGGUAGAUCACCACAUCCUGCUCAAGGUCUUACACGUCAUGGGAGCAUUCCAUCGUUUGGAGCUGGGAUACAGAUGGGUUCUCCGAGCAUGCCACUGCCAGGUUCCCCGUAUCAUAUGGUUGGGUUACCUCAUGGACUACCAUAUGGUGGAAGCAUGCCCUUUGGUGGUCCUAAUAUGCAUGUAAGCAAUCCAAUGCAAAAUGACUGGUCAAACCAAGCCAACCUGUUCACUGGGGAGCACCUUAAUCUACUGCCAAACUUGUUACAGAAACAAAUAUCGCUUCCGAAUAGCCCAAUGUCAUCACUGCUAUUCUCUCAGCAACAGCAGAGAUUGGCACAGCUCCAACCAUCCCACCAUCAUAAUUACCUAAAUUUACCACCCCACCUAUUCUACCAUCAUCACCCCCCAGAGAUACCAGGCAGGUUUGAAUCUGCUACCAGUCUUCCUUCAUCAAGAGACAAGAGAUCAAGAUCAGGAAGGGGAAAACACAGUUUACGUUUUUCUCAACCACCAUCUGAUACUACUGGUAGUCAGAACGGUGAGAGUGGUGGACUGAAGUUUAGAUCCAAGUACAUGUCAUCUGAAGAGAUUGAGUCUAUUCUAAGAAUGCAGCACUCGGCAAGUCACAGCAGUGAUCCUUACGUUGUUGAUUAUUAUCAUCAAGCUUGCAUGGCGAAAAAGGGUUCCAGUUCUAAGCAAAAGACCAAUUUCUCCCCAACAUCAGUUAAAGACUUGCCCUCCAAGUCCAGAUCAAGUGGUGACCAGCAUGCAUAUCUUCAGGUCGAUGCUCUUGGGAGAGUUUCUUUCUCUUCCAUUCGCAGGCCCCGGUCUCUUCUUGAAGUUGACAAUCCUUUGUCAGGUGAGGGUCCUCAUGAUCAGAAGUCUUCCGUGAGGUCCCUGGAGAAAGAACCUAUGGUAGCAGCCAGGGUCACUGUUGAAGAUGCCAUUGGUCUUCUUCUUGAGGUGGAUGAUAUUGACAGGCUCCUGCAGUCUAGCCAGGCACAGGAGAACAGCUUCCAGCUGAGGCGAAGGCGACAAGUUCUCCUUGAAGGUCUAGCCGCGUCACUUCAGCUUGCUGACCCUCUUGGGCCCAGCAAAUCUGCCAAUUCAUCUGGUUUAGCCCCUAAGGAUGAUAUUGUCUUUCUUCGCAUUGUUUCUCUUCCCAAAGGACGUAAGCUUCUGGCUCGUUAUAUCCGGCUUAUUGUCCCUGGAAGCGAGUUGACCAGGAUUGUGUGCAUGGCUAUUUUCCGACACCUGAGGUUCUUGUUUGGGGGUUUACCAUCAGAUUCAAGUGCAGCAGAGACAACAGUUGCUCUGGCAAAGACUGUUUCGACUUGUGCUCACCAUAUGGAGCUCGGUGCUCUUAGUGCUUGCCUUGCUGCAGUUGUCUGUUCAUCUGAGCAACCACCUCUCCGUCCUCUUGGUAGCUCUGCUGGUGACGGGGCUUCUCUUAUUAUCAAGUCAGUACUGGACCGAGCAACUGAGUUGCUGACUGAUCAGCGUGCCGUAUCCAGCUAUACCCCGUCAAACCGAGCUCUCUGGCAGGCAUCGUUUGAUGCUUUCUUUGGGCUUCUGACAAAAUACUGCCUCAGUAAGUAUGAAAGUAUUCUGCAGAUGUUUGUGAUGCAGGCAUCAGGCUCUGUGAUUGGAUCUGAAGCCUCCCAAGCAACCAGCAGGGAGAUGCCAGUAGAGUUGCUACGUGCAAGCCUCCCCCACACAAACGAGCAGCAACGCCAGAUGCUGCUUGAUUUCGCUCAGAGAACCACGCCUGCCAGCAGUUUUAAUCCCACUGGUGCUAGCGGUGGACACAUCUCUUCUGAAUCGGUUCCUGGUUAA